rnacentral:tRNA from 1 species
GGGGAUUUAGCUCAGUGGUAAAGCACUUGCCUAGCAAGCAGAAGGGCCUGGGUUCGGUUCCCAGCUCCG